rnacentral:rRNA from 1 species
CGAAAGCCUGACAGAGCAAUACCACGUGAAGGACGAAGGCCUAUGGGUUGUAAACUUCUUUUCUCAAGGAGGAAGAAUGACGUUACUUGAGGAAUAAGCAUCGGCUAACCCUGUGCCAGCAGCCGGGUAAUACAGGGGAUGCAAGUGAAAUCCGGAAUUUUGGGCGUAAAGCGCUGCAGGUUGGCAUUUAAGUCUUUUGUUAAAUCUCUAGGCCUAACCUAGAAUCCGCAAAAGAAACUAUAGUCUUGAGUAUGGUAGAGGUAAAGGGAAUUCCAGUGGAGCGGUGAAAUGCGUAGAGAUUGGAAAGAACACCAACGGCGAAGGCACUUUACUGGGCCAGUACUGACACUCAGAGACGAAAGCUAGGGGAGCAAACGAGAUUAGAUACCUCGGUAGUCCUAGCUGUAAACGAUGGAUACUAGAUGUUGUGCCUUUUUUAGGGUGCAGUGUCGUAGCUAACGCGUUAAGUACCCGCCUG